rnacentral:antisense_RNA from 1 species
GCAUUUGUCGUCGGCGGUUCCCGCGGCGUG